rnacentral:lncRNA from 1 species
GUAUUUUUAUAGCUUCAUCUUAUUAUUAUUAUAAUAUGUGUUUAAAUUUUUUUAUUUUAUUUUUUAUACUUUAACAUUACUUUUUAAUUAUCAUAAUGUUUUUUAUAAUAAUUUUUAUUAGAUUUUAUUGUAUUUGAUAAUAUUUUUAAAAUUAUAUAUUAUAAUCGUUAUGUUUUUAUAAAAAAUUUCAUGAUGUUCUCGGAUUGAAUACUUAUAUUUCAUCAAUGAAUUUGUAUUUGAAUUAUAAACUAUAAAUAUCAUGAGUUUUAUGAUAAAAUUACAAAAAAUAAAAAAAUAAAUUAGUUUUAAAAUACCUCGUCUCCCCUAUUAAAUAUAUUUGUAAAUAAAAUUCGUCCCCUCCUCCCUUUUAUAUUUUGAACGAAAAAUAUAUGAAACAUAUAUGUAAUUAAAAUUCCUUCCCUUCCUCCCCCUCACUCCCCUUGAUAAAAAUUCAUCCAUUAUCUCAUCUCUUUGAUUGAACCAAACAGACCCUAAAUCUUUCAUACCACUUAAGUUUUUAUUUCUUU